CACGUGUUCCCUAAAUGCGUUCCAUGUCUCGUUUCCCACGUAGGGCUGUCCUCCCCCAAAGGGAGGGUAGUUUCUAAAUCUCAUGCGCCAUAAGGACCUUGUUAAAUUACGUUGGAAGCCUCAAUCCCAAACCCACCAUGCGACUCACCGUAAACAUCAUGGUUAGGGUUAGUUGUUAUUAUUUUUACUAAUCUUUAUUACCACCGCAUAUGAGAAGUAGAUAUUACUUUGCUGCUAUAUACCUCGGCUUCUUCAAGCCCUGGUGACUUUAGCAUAUCACGUGACCCUGUGACAUUACUAAGUCCUUACGGCGCAUGGGAACUAGACACUACCCUAGACAGAUGACGUCAUCGGCUUGCGUCUUUAGCGUUCUCUGCUGCAAGAAGAACGUCAACACACAGGAGCAAAUCAUCCAUGUAUUGUAACAGGACCUCUGAGCGGGCGGUGCCCAGUUUGUAAGGACAGAUUGUAGAACCUGUGUAUACAUGGUCGGGGAGUUCUAAGCUCCUUGAGGCAGAAUAGUCCAAGUAUACUGGUUACCCUUAAAUGUAAAGGCAAACGGAUAUGGACAGUCUUGAUGCAACGGGACACUAAAGAAGGAAUUUGCCAGGUCUAUCACUGUGAAACACGUAGCAGUGGAUGGAACUUGUGACAGUAAGUGAAAACCAGUGAUCCAGGUUGAGAUUUGCUCACACGCUGAAUUUCAGGUCAUCUGUACUUUAGAAGUGCUGAGUGGGUUUCCAGUACGACAGACCUUUUGACUUAGAAGAACUAUCACAGAUGGCCUACUGGAAUGAACAUCUGUACAAACCAUCCCCGCUGCUUUUUCUUUCUGGUGCAAACAGGAAGUAUUGACAGCUCUCACUACAGCCAUCUGUGUAGCUUGUUAAACUAUAUACUUAUCGGUAUCUUUUAAUGGUUAGGCUUCUAGGGCUAGGAAUUUUCUCAGUACCUCUCUAGACACUUCUAUUUAGAGUUGACUCAUAAAUCACAGUAGUUCCCUUUUUCCAGUCAUGUGUACAUUUGUGAUGUCUAUUGAGGAUCCACUCAGUGUCACCACAAGCAGCACCAAAACUUUAGUUGGAAUGGACUAUGAUACCUCAAACAACUUAGAUGAAUGUAAUGAGAGCAAAGAUGAGACUUUGCCCCUGGACCAGGAGUCAGAAACGAAGAUACCUGUGCAACUGUACAUCGAAGAUGCAAAGACUACAGUGGAGACUAACACAGAGGAGCAAAACAUUCAUCACAUCAAUGCCAACAACUGGUUUGUGAUUCAUUUAUUCUUGUGAUCUGUUCAUUGUUGAAAAGUUUAAUACAUAUUGUACAUCAGAAAGACUUCUAGUACCCUGCUGUUCUGAUUAGAUUAGCAGGGUACAAUGGGUCAGCAAAGAUUCUUGUCAUUCUACCCAAGCAGACAAAAAUAGUAAAGGGGUACUCUGGGAAUGAAGAUAACGAAAACCUAUAAAUAUUACUUUAUUAUAAAUAUAUUCCCAAAUACUCAUUAGUUAUAAAGGU